rnacentral:rRNA from 1 species
UACGUAGGGUGCAAGCGUUAAUCGGAAUUACUGGGCGUAAAGCGUGCGCAGGCGGUUUUGUAAGUCUGUCGUGAAAGCCCCGGGCUCAACCUGGGAAUUGCGAUGGAGACUGCAAGGCUUGAAUCUGGCAGAGGGGGGUAGAAUUCCACGUGUAGCAGGUGAAAUGCGUAGAGAUGUGGAGGAACACCGAUGGCGAAGGCAGCCCCCUGGGUCAAGAUUGACGCUCAUGCACGAAAGCGUGGGGAGCAAACAGG